CAGAUUUAUCUUUAGAACUGUUUGCAAAACAUUUGAUUUGCAUACAAAAGACCAAGUGAAAAUGAUACUGGAAAGACUGUUUACUUCUGUCCCAAUCUAACCUAGUGGGUUCAAAAAGAAAGGACCGCGCUGGAAACAUGAAGGGGUUAAAAGGAUUAGCCCUUUUUGAAUUAAUAGUCGUCGUAACCAGCUUGUAUGAAAGGAUUUCUUGACGUGAAAUAGUUAAUUUUAUUCAGCAACGCUAAGAAACAGAGCUCGCUCAAGAAACAGAAAAGAA